CCUACGGGAGGCAGCAGUAAGGAAUAUUGGUCAAUGGGCGCAAGCCUGAACCAGCCACGCCGCGUGAGUGAUGAAGGCCUUCGGGUUGUAAAGCUCUGUGGGGAGGGAAGAAAACGGCCAGUAAGAAACGACUGGUCCUUGACGGUACCUCCUUAGCAAGCACCGGCUAACUCUGUGCCAGCAGCCGCGGUAAUACAGAGGGUGCGAACGUUGCUCGGAAUUACUGGGCGUAAAGCGCGUGUAGGCGGGUUCGCAAGUCAGACGUGAAAUCCCCGGGCUCAACCCGGGAACUGCGUCUGAAACUGCGAGCCUUGAGUACCGGAGAGGGUGGCGGAAUUCCUGGUGUAGAGGUGAAAUUCGUAGAUAUCAGGAGGAACACCGGUGGCGAAGGCGGCCACCUGGACGGUAACUGACGCUGAGACGCGAAAGCGCGGGGAGCACACAGGAUUAGAUACCCUGGUAGUCCACGCCGUAAACGAUGGGUGCUAGGUGUCUCGGGUAUUGACCCCUGAGGUGCCGUAGCUAACGCGUUAAGCACCCCGCCUGGGAAGUACGGUCGCAAGACUAAAACUCAAAGGAAUUGACGG
rnacentral:rRNA from 1 species